rnacentral:tRNA from 1 species
GGCGCGGUUCUCGCCGGUGCGGGCGGCGGCCUGCAAAGCCGACCGAUGUCCGGGUUCGACUCCCGGCCGCGUCU